AAUCAACGCUGGCGGCGUGCCUCAGACAUGCAAGUCGAACGCGAAAGUUUCCUUCGGGAGAUGAGUAGAGUGGCGCACGGGUGAGUAACACGUGAGUAAUUUACCUUCGGGUGGGGAAUACUAACCGGAAACGGUUGUUAAUACCGCAUAAUGCAGCGGCAUCAAUAGAUGACAGUUGUUUAAAGCGGGGGAGUUGGAGCAAUCCGACCUCGCGCCUGAAGAGAAGCUCGCGGCAGAUUAGCUAGUUGGUAAGGUAAUGGCUUACCAAGGCGACGAUCUGUAACCGG
rnacentral:rRNA from 1 species